rnacentral:lncRNA from 10 species
AGGGCCGCACCGCGCCUGCGCCCGCUCGCCGAGAGGGGCUGGGAGGAGACCUGGGAGGGCGGAGGCCGCCGCCCCGGCCGGGCCACGCUGGGGGCACGAUGAUGUCAGCGGAGGAAAGGAAAUGAGUCAUCACUCCCUGGGACCGUGGGGCGGCCGGGAGCGAGUGUGGAGACGCGGCCACAGGAACCCAGGACAAUGGCGGGAGUGUACUAGCAAGACCCAACUACCUGCAUGUUGCGGUUCUCUCCUCUGUGUGUUUGCACAGACUAUUUCCUUCGAUUGAAAGGCCUUCUCUUCACUACGCUGCUGCUCAAACUGUCUGACUUCUACCUGCCCUUUAAAAUCUUCUCCAUGGGUGUGUCAAAGAGUAUAAUCAACAGAGUGAAAAAAGCAACCUAUAGAAUGGGAGAAAAUAUUUUCAAAUCAUAGCUCUGAUAAGGAAUCAAUAUCCACAGUGUAUAAAGAACUACAGCUAGACCAUAGAAAAUCAAUCCUGAUUCAAAAAUGGGCAAAGGACUUGAAUAGGCAUUUCUCCAAAGAAAAUAAACAAGCGGCCAAUAAGCACUUGGGAAGAUGUUCAACAUCACUAAUCUUUAGGGAAACGCAAAUCAAAACCAUAGUGAGGCCCCCACCAUCCUGACUCUCCUUCCUUCCAGAGGAUGUUGCCUUCUGGAUCCACCUCAACCCUACUCAGGGAGCCGCUCAGCUUCCUCAAGGGCCUGGAGUAGAUGGCUUCCAUCUUCUCUUUUGCCACCUGUGGAGGUUUUUAAGAGCAAACAGAAAUUCAAGUGAAUUGUCCUCCUACAGUUACUGACGAAACUAUUACAGCUACUUCUGAUUAUCCAUUCAGGUUAAAUCAGGCAUCAUUUCAGUCACCUCCAGGUAUUAAUGUGUAUGAUAUAAAUUGGAAAGUCAAGUCCUCCUAGGAGAUGACUGUGCUUCUGCACAAUUCCAUUACAUUUGCAGUCUCUGUCUUCCUGUACUGCAUUGCUGUCGUGCUUUAUGUUGGUUACAGGAACCUAUAUCAGGGUAGUCAUAAACUUCCCAUGAUUGGCUUUGUCAUUACUCUUGUUGCCAUCUUUUGCGAUUGGUGAGCACUUCAAAAGCUCGCUUGGGCAAAAGCUCUUGCAGAUAUUAAAAUAACUACUGGUCAAAAUAUUGUUCAGGAACUUCUGCUUGUAAGAAAUCAUAAUAAUGUGUUAUUUUGGCUCUGUGACCAGCAUGGGAUUCCUAAAUGUAUCUGUGAUCUUUGUCUUUCUGAAUAUGAUACUUUGGAGGGGAAAUGCUUGGCGUGUGUACAAGUAUGAGGAGACCAACUUACACAACCCAUCAAAUACUUAUGCUCCUCAUAGCCAAGGAGGUAUUCCACCUCCUGCUGGAAUGUAAUUAAAGGGAGAAACACACUGUAUGAAAUAUAUGUCUAUAUCAUGACUUGUUGCCAACAUCUUGAGGCACAUUAUUUGUUUCCAAUAAAAGUAAUGUUUUUUUUUUUAAGCCACACAAUGAGAUAUCACCUCACACCCAUCAGAAUGGCUACUGUAAAACAAAAACAGAAAAUAACAAGUGUGGACAAGAAUGUGAAGAAAGUGAAGCCCUUGUGCAGUUGGAGGGAAUGUAAAAUGUUCCAGCCACUGUGGAAAACAGUGUCUUCAUCUGUUUCCUAUUGCUAUAACUGAACACCAGAGACUGGGUAAAUUAUAAAGAAAAGAAUUUAUUUCUUACAAUUCUAGAGGCUGGGAAGUCCUAGGUCAAGGGACUGCAUCUGCUUGGCCUCUGGGGAGGGCCUCAUGUCAUAACAUGUCAGAAGGCAUCACGUGGGAAAGGGGUGCACUGAGAGCCAAACUGCCUUUAAUAACAAACCCAGGCUGGGCACAGCGGCUCAUGCCUGUAAUCCCAGCACUUUGGGGGAGCAGGGGGUCAAGGCUUGCAGAUCACUUGAGGCCAGGAGUUCAAGACCAGCCUGGCCAACAUGGUGAAACCUUGUCUCUACUAAAAAUACAAAAAUUAGCCAGGGAUGGUGGCAGGUGCCUGUAAUCUCAGCUACUUGGGAGGCUGAGGAAGGAGGAUGGCUUGAACCCUGGAGGCAGAGACUGCAGUGAGCCGAGAUUGUGCCACUGCAUUCCAGCCUGGGUGACAGAGUGAGAUUCUGUCUCAAAAAAUAUAAUAUAAUAUAAUAUAAUAUGGCACAAAGAAUACUAAAUAGACCUCUGUACUUGCCCACACAGGUUUAACAAAUGUCAACAUUUUGCCACAUUUGCUUUCUAUUUCUUUUUUCGAAAAAACAAAACAAAAAAACCCCCAAAACUGAUAAAUCUAAAGCCCUCCCAUUUUCCCUUGUAUAGAUAACCAGUGUCUCAAGUUAGUGUAGAUCCUUCUUGACCAUGUAUAUAUACACAUACAUACAUACACAUUUACUACAGAGGUAUAUAUCAAUGUAUACAAUACCAUAUCGAUAAUAUGUAUAUUUCAUACGUAUAUAAAAUAUGGGGGCCCAGGAAGCGAUCCUCUUGCCUCAGCCUCCAAAUUAGCUGAGAUUACAGGUCUAAGCCACCACGCCUGGCUAAUUUUUAUAUUUUUAGUAGAGAUGGAGUUUCACCAUGUUGGCCAGGCUAGUCUCGAAUUCCUGGUCUCAAGUGAUCCACGCACCUCAGCUUCCUAAAGUGUUGGGAUUACAUACACAAAUAUAACACAUACAUUAACAAUAUAUGUACAUAUAUACUAUCAUACUGUGUAAAUCUCUUUGAAAUUUGCUUUUUCACUCAUUUUUGAGAUUUACCCGUGUUAUUACAUUGUAGAUCUGAUUCGUUAAUUUUAAAUGCUCCAUAGUUUCCCAUUGUUUGAAUAAACCUGUUUAUUUAUUUGUUCCUUUCCUAAUGGACUGUUGGUUGUUCCCAUUUUCGUUAUUACACACAGCACUGCAGUGAAAAUUCUUGUAUCGAUGUGUGGGUGUUUUUUCCUUUUGAGACAGGGUAUUGCUCUGCCACCCAGGCUGGAGUGCAUUGGCACAAUCACAGCUCACUGAAGCCUCAACUUCCUAGGUUCAAGCAAUCCUCCCACCUCAGCCUCCCAAGUAGCUGAGACUACAGGCGCAUGCCACCACACCCAGCUAAAUUUUAAAUUUUUUGUAGACAGGGGUCUUGCCAUGUUGACCAGGAGGAUGGUUUCAAAACUCCUGGGCUCAAGUGAUCCACCCGCCUCAGCCUCCCAAAUUGCUGGGAUUACAGGCAUGAGUCACCGCGCCCGGCCUGUUUUGCGAGGCAUAUGGUUGCUAGAUCACAGUGCAUGCACAUCUUCGGCUUUAACUAGCUAUCGCCAAAUUCUCCAAAGUUGAUCUGAAACCAGUGGAGCGUGUCAGCACUGCCCCUAGCAUGCGCACACCAGGCGGGGGUGUGACAGCCCUCGGGCUAGGCCCCAACCCCACUUCGAGAUCCGUGCGGGGGCCGGGAGCUAGCAGAGGCCAAGCAAUGGGAACAGGCACCUCCAAGCCUGCAAGGACAAGGCGAG